AUUUGAGGCUGCCUGGCCCUGCCGGUAUUGCAGUAAUAUCAGCAAUACAAAUGCAGGUAAUUUUCUCAGAAUAAAUGGAAAUUACUCUGCAAUACCAGCACCGGCCAGUAGGGCUGUGUGUGAAGAGAGGCAGGGAUAGGAAGUUACAGAAUAUCCCUGCCUCUCUCUACUACUCACUGAUCCGUGGGGGAGCAGCUACACAGCACAGAGAGUCCAGACAGCAGCUCUAGAGCUCAG